GACGAACGCUGGCGGCGUGCUUAACACAUGCAAGUCGAACGGAAAGGCCUGCUUUCCCUUGUGGAUUGCGGGUACUCGAGUGGCGAACGGGUGAGUAACACGUGAGUGAUCUGCCCCCAACUUGGGUAUAAGCCUGGGAAACUGGGUCUAAUUCCCGAUAGGACUGCAGGGUGGUGCCUGUGGUGGAAAACGAUUUUCUAGUGGUUGGGGAUGAGCUCGCGGCCUAUCAGCUUGUUGGUGGGGUAAUGGCCUACCAAGGCGGCGACGGGUAGCCGGCCUGAGAGGGUGGACGGCCACAGUGGGACUGAGAUACGGCCCAGACUCCGACGGGAGGCAGCAGUGGGGAAUAUUGCACAAUGGGCGGAAGCCUGAUGCAGCGACGCCGCGUGGGGGAUGACGGCCUUCGGGUGGUAAACUCCUUUCGACCGCGAGGAAGCCACCUGGUUGGAAGGGUGGUGACGGUAGUGGUAGAAGAAGCACCGGCUAACUACGUG
rnacentral:rRNA from 1 species